CCUACGGGAGGCAGCAGUGGGGAAUCUUGCGCAAUGGCCGAGAGGCUGACGCAGCGACGCCGCGUGGGGGAUGAAGCAUUUCGGUGUGUAAACCCCUGUUGCUCGGGACGAACGACCCUUUUCGAGGGGUGUGACGGUACCGAGUGAGGAAGCACCGGCUAACUCCGUGCCAGCAGCCGCGGUAAUACGGAGGGUGCAAGCGUUGUCCGGAAUCACUGGGCGUAAAGGGCGCGUAGGUGGUUAGAUGCGCCGGUGGUGAAAGCGCAGGGCUCAACCCUGCGUCGGCCAUCGGGACGGUCUGACUGGAGCACUGUAGAGGCAGGUGGAAUUCCGGGUGUAGCGGUGGAAUGCGUAGAGAUCCGGAAGAACACCGGUGGCGAAGGCGGCCUGCUGGGCAGUUGCUGACACUGAGGCGCGACAGCGUGGGGAGCAAACAGGAUUAGAUACCCUGGUAGUCCACGCCGUAAACGAUGGGCACUAGGUGCUUGGGGGAGCGACCCCCUGAGUGCCGACGCUAACGCAUAAGUGCCCGCCUGGGGAGUACGACCGCAAGGUUGAAACUUCAAAGGAAUUAGAGG
rnacentral:rRNA from 1 species